rnacentral:lncRNA from 1 species
UCCUUACCCAGGUUUGGGCCACGAGCCACACCACUGUUUGGCCCAGACCCGGGCCAUGGCGGGUGGAUGGGCGCUAGGGGACUGCGAAAAGGGCGGAGCGCAAUGUCCGGCCAGAAGCAAGGCCAGGUGACAGUGAAGACUAGGAGUCCGCAGUGUGUCAGAGAGAUGUGUGCGCCCAGCGAGCAGGUGCCUGUGGCGCGGAGCGCACCAGAGAGCCAGCGAGCAGCGGCCUGACUCGUCCUGAAAAUCCAUUGUGUGUCUUGAGUGAAGAAGCAGGAAACAGCUGAAUGAGUUCUCAGGAGAUCAUCUCCAUGCUGCCAAGGGGAUCAUGAAGACUGGCUAUAUUCCUGAGAAUCUGACUUUCAGCAAAGCCUCCCAAAGGUCCCAAAUUUAGGACACUUGGAGUAAGAAAAUAUGCUUCCUCAGUUGUGCCUGUAAACAUAUGGAACACAUUGCAAAGUUCUGGAAAGCACACAGAACAUCUCUGUCAGAGUGACAGCUCCAGGCUAGGGAUCAAGUGUGAUGAUUGCUGAGAUUGGAUGUUGGAAAGAGUUAUGGUGACAUCAAGAACUGAUGAAUGCCAGAGAAAGCACCUUAGGACUUUGUG